GACGAACGCUGGCGGCGUGCUUAACACAUGCAAGUCGAACGGAAAGGCCCUGCUUUUGUGGGGUGCUCGAGUGGCGAACGGGUGAGUAACACGUGAGUAACCUGCUCUUGACUUUGGGAUAACUUCAGGAAACUGGGGCUAAUACCGGAUAGGAGCUCCUGCUGCAGGGUGGGGGUUGGAAAGUUUCGGCGGUUGGGGAUGGACUCGCGGCUUAUCAGCUUGUUGGUGGGGUAGUGGCUUACCAAGGCUUUGACGGGUAGCCGGCUUGAGAGGGUGACCGGGCACAUUGGGACUGAGAGACGGCCCAGAGGCCUACGGGAGGCAGCAGUGGGGAAUAUUGCACAAUGGGCGGAAGCCUGAUGCAGCAACGCCGCGUGCGGGAUGACGGCCUUCGGGUUGUAAACCGCUUUCGCCUGUGACGAAGCGUGAGUGACGGUAAUGGGUAAAGAAGCACCGGCUAACUACGUG
rnacentral:rRNA from 1 species